CUCGGAAAAGGGCAAAACCAGAGCGAUCUGGUGACGCAAAGCCACGGGUCCGCAGGUGCGGAUAGCCGGGAUGCCGAA
rnacentral:ncRNA from 1 species